AUGGAACAAUGUAGGCAAGGGAAGUCGGCAAAACGGAUCCGUAACUUCGGGAAAAGGAUUGGCUCUGAGGACUGGGCUCGGGGGUCCCGGCCCCGAACCCGUCGGCUGUCGGCGGAUUGCUCGAGCUGCUCACGCGGCGAGAGCGGGUCGCCGCGUGCCGGCCGGGGGACGGACCGGGAAUCGCCCCUUCGGGGGCUUUCCCCAAGCAUGAAACAGUCGACUCAGAACUGGUACGGACAAGGGGAAUCCGACUGUUUAAUUAAAACAAAGCAUUGCGAUGGUCCUCGCGGAUGCUGA
rnacentral:rRNA from 1 species